rnacentral:rRNA from 1 species
AGUGAACGCUGGCGGCAGGCCUAACACAUGCAAGUCGAACGGCAGCACAAGAGAGCUUGCUCUCUGGGUGGCGAGUGGCGGACGGGUGAGGAAUGCAUCGGAAUCUGCCCAUUUGUGGGGGAUAACCUCGGGAAACCGGGACUAAUACCGCAUACGACCUACGGGUGAAAGCAGGGGAUCUUCGGACCUUGCGCAGAUGGAUGAGCCGAUGCCGGAUUAGCUAGUUGGAGGGGUAAAGGCCCACCAAGGCGACGAUCCGUAGCUGGUCUGAGAGGAUGAUCAGCCACACUGGGACUGAGACACGGCCCAGACUCCUACGGUAGGCAGCAGUGGGGAAUAUUGGACAAUGGGCGCAAGCCUGAUCCAGCCAUGCCGCGUGUGUGAAGAAGGCCUUCGGGUUGUAAAGCACUUUCGUUGGGAAAGAAAAGCAGCCGGUUAAUACCCGGUUGUCAUGACGGUACCCAAAGAAUAAGCACCGGCUAACUUCGUGCCAGCCGCCGCCGUAAAAC